UGUGAAGUUAAGUGAUUCAAUCAAUGUUGUAAGAGUGCUAAGUUUACGGAAGUAGUUAGCACUCGGUCACCGGAAGUCGACAUUCACCAUGUGAAGAAUUUGAUGCUGGAAUCAAACAUCCCGGAUGACACUUUCAAGAUGGAGUAAACGCAGAUGUACAAACAUUUUGUAGUUGAUCAGCUUAAGGCAAUAAUGAAGACUUCGGAGCUCCACUUCAUAUGAUAAUGGUUCUUUUUGAAAGGUAGAUUUCCAGAUUGAGAAAUUGAGUAGGGUUCUUCGGGGGUUUAUUGAGUUGAUUUUGUAGGGAGCCAUUAAUAUCUCGUCUACCGUCGGAAUGAACACAGUUUGAUCCAGGUAAGCUUUCAUCAAUAUUCAACCAACAUAUCUUCAUGAUAUAAAUUUUUAUGGAGGUGAAGAUGUGAAGUUAAGUGAUUCAAUCAAUGAUGUAAGGGUGCUAAGUUUACGGAAGUAUUUAGCACUCGGUCACCGGAAGUCCACAUUCACCAUGUGAAGAAUUUGAUGCUUGAAUCAAACAUCCCGGAUGACACUUUCAAGGUUGUUAAAGCAUUGGGGGAUCCUAAUAAUGACAUCUCUAAUUAAUUAAGGUGGAUUGCAGAUGAAGUAAACUCAGAUGUACCAACAUUUUGUAGGUGACCUACUUAAGGCAAUAAUGAAGACUUCGGAGCUCCACUUCAUAUGAUAAUGGUUCUUGUCGAAUGGUAGAUUUCCAGAAUGAGAAAUUGAAUAGGUUCGGGGGUUCAUUGAGUUGAUUUUGGAUGGAGCCAUUAAUAUCUCGUCUACCAU